rnacentral:lncRNA from 1 species
CCGGGUCGAGUCGGUUCCAGGUCAGGCCGAGGUCGGGUCCAGGUCGGAUUAGUUCCGGAUCGGGCCAGGGCCUUCAGGGAUGGGUCCGGGGAUGGGGCCGGGGCGGUCCGACAGGUUGGGUGGGGUCAGGACUGGUCGGGGUCGGGUUGGGUCGGUUUCGGGUUGGGCCUGAUCGGAUCGGACUGAAAUUAUUAUAAUUGUUGCAUAUUAUUUUUUAGUGUU